rnacentral:rRNA from 1 species
AUUGAACGCUGGCGGCAUGCUUUACACCUGCAAGUCGGACGAGUGGCGGACGGGUGAGUAACGCAUCGGAACGUGCCUAGUAAUGGGGGAUAACUGUCCGAAAGGAAAGCUAAUACCGCCUAGUAUCCGAGCGGCCCAUGUCUGAUUAGCUGGUUGUCGGGGUAACGGCCCCCCAAGGCGACGAUCAUUAGCGGGUCUGAGAGGCUGAACCGCCACACUGGGACUGAGACACGGCCCAGACUCGUACGGGAGGCAGCAGUGGGGAAUUGUGGACAAUGGGCGCAAGCCUGAUCCAGCCAUGCCGCGUGUCUUAAGAAGGCCUUCGGGUUGUAAAGGACUUGUGUCAGGGAAGCGGUACCUGAAGAAUAAGCACCGGCUAACUACGUGCCAGCAGACGCGGUAAUAC